rnacentral:rRNA from 1 species
AACGAACGCUGGCGGCGCGCCUAAUACAUGCAAGUCGAGCGAGAAGACGUAGCAAUACGUUUGUAAAGCGGCGAACGGGUGAGGAAUACAUGGGUAACCUACCCUCGAGUGGGGAAUAACUAGCCGAAAGGUUAGCUAAUACCGCGUACGCUCCUUGGACUUCGGUUCAGGGAGGAAAGCGAUACCGUGGGUAUCGCGCUCUUGGAGUGGGCU